UGGGCAUAGGAACCAAUCAGAAACAAUCGCUUCAGCAAUCAAGACCAUUGUUCAUCAUGGAGGAACCCAUGGAUACCUCUGAGCCUCUAUCUGCAUUACCAUUCACUGGGCAGCAGUCUUUUGAGCCAAGUGGCAAAUUUGGACAGUGUCCAUCCGAUGCAGAUGAACCACAUCCAGGCACUGGGGAGGUGGAGGACAUAGAACAGCUCAAUCAGUGUUUGAUCCAACACUUCCAUCUCAUUAAGACAAGUUUGAUUUUUCUUUGCUUUUUAUUUCAUGGAAUACAUGAGAAUCUCUUAACUGUUGGAGUUUCCAAGGAGGCAUACCUCGUGACUUCAGUUAAUGGAAAGAACAAAACUAAAAUGCUGUAUGGCCAAAGCCACAAAGGGAAGGAUCUGCAAUUUACAUUCUUGGAGCUAUCAUCUGUACUGUACUGUUGUGAUCUGCUGAUUGGCAUUGGCAUAGUAGUAGGGGUCAAGUGACAGAAUCCGUGCCAGCAGUCUCCAGGUUCAGAAGCAAUUCAAGACCCUGAUGAUAGCUCUCCAGCAACCAACACAUGGAGAAGAUGGUAUAAACUGGUUCAUCAGUGACAAAGACAUUGAGGCCCAGAUAGCUAAUAACCGAACACCUGGAAGAUGGACCCAGCGGUACUAUUCAGCCAACAAAAACAUUAUCUGUAGAAAUUGUGACAAACGUGGCCAUUUAUCAAAAAACUGCCCCUUACCACGAAAAGUUCGUCGCUGCUUCCUGUGCUCCAGGAGAGGACAUCUCCUGUAUUCCUGUCCAGCCCCCCUUUGCGAAUACUGUCCUGUGCCUAAGAUGUUGGACCACUCAUGUCUUUUCAGACAUUCCUGGGAUAAACAGUGUGACCGAUGUCAUAUGCUAGGCC
rnacentral:lncRNA from 1 species